CCAACGGGAGGCUGCAGUCGAGGAUAUUUAGCAAUGGGGGAAACCCUGACUAUGUGACGCCGCGUGAGGGAUGAAGGUCUUCGGAUUGUAAACCUCUUUCGACAGGAAAGAAACUUUACGUUAACUGCGUAAACUGACGGUACCUGGAGAAGAAGCCAUGGCCAACUCUGUGCCAGCAGCCGAGGUAAUACAGAGAUGGCGAGCGUUACUCGGAUUUAUUGGGUGUAAAGGGCAGGUAGGUGUUUCGCCAAGUUGUAAGUGAAAUCCUAAGGCGCAACCUUAGAACUGCGUACAAAACUGGCGAACUUGAGAUUGGUAGAGGGAAGCGGAAUUCCCGGUGUAAGGGUGAAAUCUGUAGAUAUCGGGAGGAACACCAGUGGCGAAAGCGGCUUUCUGGACCAAUUCUGACGCUAAUCUGCGAAAGCUCGGGGAGCAAACA
rnacentral:rRNA from 1 species